AGGACGAACGCUGGCGGCAUGCUUAACACAUGCAAGUCGCACGACGGUUUCGGCCGUAGUGGCGGACGGGUGAGUAACGCGUAGGUAUCUAUCCUUGGGUGGGGGAUAACCGUGGGAAACUGCGGCUAAUACCGCAUGACACCUGUGGGUCAAAGGCGCAAGUCGCCUGGGGAGGAGCCUGCGUACGAUUAGCUAGUUGGUGGGGUAAAGGCCUACCAAGGCUACGAUCGUUAGCUGGUCUGAGAGGAUGAUCAGCCACAUUGGGACUGAGACACGGCCCAAACUCCUACGGGAGGCAGCAGUGGGGAAUAUUGGACAAUGGGCGCAAGCCUGAUCCAGCAAUGCCGCGUGGGUGAAGAAGGUUUUCGGAUUGUAAAGCCCUUUCGGCGGGGACGAUGAUGACGGUACCCGCAGAAGAAGCCCCGGCUAACUUCGUGCCAGCAGCCGC
rnacentral:rRNA from 1 species